rnacentral:tRNA from 1 species
AUUACUUUAACAUAUUAAUGUAUUGAAUUUAGAAUUUAAUUAUAUAUAAAAUUUAUUUAUAUAAGUAAUU